CGCGAAAUUAUAUUAUUGAGAUAUCCGCUUCCAAGAAUCCAUUGACCAUUGUACAUGGAAAUGGGAGUAUUCAGAUAUAUAUAUGGUGGCAUCAGAAGAGGAGCUGUAUGCYUGAUACAACUAUGUCACGCAUGUUGGAAUAAUUGUUGUUAUGUAUUUGGUCUUAUCAAAAGAAGAGUUCACGCAUGGUGGAAUGAUCGUGAUG